UCCCUGGUGGUCCAGUGGUUAGGACUCCGCACUUCCACUGCAGGGAGAACAGGUUCCAUCCCUGGUUGGGGAA
rnacentral:tRNA from 1 species